rnacentral:rRNA from 1 species
AUUGAACGCUGGCGGCAGGCCUAACACAUGCAAGUCGAGCGGAUGAAGGGAGCUUGCUCCUGGAUUCAGCGGCGGACGGGUGAGUAAUGCCUAGGAAUCUGCCUGGUAGUGGGGGAUAACGUCCGGAAACGGGCGCUAAUACCGCAUACGUCCUGAGGGAGAAAGUGGGGGAUCUUCGGACCUCACGCUAUCAGAUGAGCCUAGGUCGGAUUAGCUAGUUGGUGGGGUAAAGGCCUACCAAGGCGACGAUCCGUAACUGGUCUGAGAGGAUGAUCAGUCACACUGGAACUGAGACACGGUCCAGACACCUACGGGAGGCAGCAGUGGGGAAUAGUGGACAAUGGGCGAAAGCCUGAUCCAGCCAUGCCGCGUGUGUGAAGAAGGUCUUCGGAUUGUAAAGCACUUUAAGUUGGGAGGAAGGGCAGUAAGUUAAUACCUUGCUGUUUUGACGUUACCAACAGAAUAAGCACCGGCUAACUUCGU